AGAACGCAGCGAAAUGCGAUAAGUAAUGUGAAUUGCAGAAUUCAGUGAAUCAUCGAAUCUUUGAACGCACAUUGCGCCCGUUGGUAUUCCGACGGGCACGCCUGUCCGAGCGUCAUUGCAACAAUCACGCUUCGCGUGGUGUUGGGGACCGUCGCGCGAGCGACUCCCCCGGAACCCGUUGGCGGUGGCCCUUCGCCCCGAUCGUCGCGCACGUUACGACGGUGUGGGGGACUGCCCGCCCAAUCGCAUUGACACGCUAAGUUUGACCUCGGAUCAGGCGGGGAUACCCGCUGAACUUAAGC
rnacentral:misc_RNA from 1 species